rnacentral:rRNA from 1 species
UACCAUGGUGGUAACGGGUAACGGGGUGUUAGGGCACGACACCGGAGAGGGAGCCUGAGAAACGGCUACCACAAUCAAGGAUGGCGGCAGGCGCGCAAAUUACCCAAUCCCGACACGGGGAGGUAGUGACAAUAAAUAACAAUACGGGGUUCUUUAGGAUCUCGUAAUUGGAAUGAGUACAAUUUAAAUCUCUUAACGAGGAACAAUUGGAGGGCAAGUCUGGUGCCAGCAGCCGCGGUAAUUCCAGCUCCAAUAGCGUAUAUUAAAGUUGUUGCAGUUAAAAAGCUCGUAGUUGAAUUUCGGGGUCAGUAGGUCGGUCGUGCCACUGGUAUGAACUGGUUUUACUGAUUCCUCCCUCUUGAAGAACUGUAAUGCCAUUAAUUUGGUGUUGCAGGGAAUCAGGACUGUUACUUUGAAAAAAUUAGAGUGUUUAAAGCAGGCUUUAGCUUGAAUACAUUAGCAUGGAAUAAUGAAAUAGGACGUUUGAUCCUAUUUUGUUGGUUUCUAGGAUUGACGUAAUGAUUAAUAGGGAUAGUUGGGGGCAUUAGUAUUCAAUUGUCAGAGGUGAGAUUCUUGGAUUUAUUGAAGACUAACUACUGCGAAAGCAUUUGCCAAGGAUGUUUUCAUUAAUCAAGAACGAAAGUUAGGGGAUCGAAGACGAUCAGAUACCGUCGUAGUCUUAACCAUAAACUAUGCCGACUAGGGAUCGGAUGAUGUUAAUUUUUUAAUGACUCAUUCGGCGCCUUACGGGAAACCAAAGUGUUU